rnacentral:rRNA from 1 species
UACGAAGGGGGCUAGCGUUGUUCGGAAUUACUGGGCGUAAAGCGCGCGCAGGCGGCUUCUCAAGUCAGGGGUGAAAGCCCAGAGCUCAACUCUGGAAUUGCCUUUGAGACUGAGUGGCUUGAGUACGAGAGAGGUGAGUGGAAUUCCCAGUGUAGAGGUGAAAUUCGUAGAUAUUGGGAAGAACACCGGUGGCGAAGGCGGCUCACUGGCUCGUAACUGACGCUGAUGCACGAAAGCGUGGGGAUCAAACAGG